GAUGAAAUUCAGGUCCAGUCACCCCCUCCCCCCUAAAAUAAUCCCUAGGUUCAUCAGGAAUAAAGAAUAUGCUAUACUUUGUCUCUGGUACCCACUCAAGCAAAUCUACUCUCCACAGUCAAAACUGAAAUCUGCCUUUCUAAAAAUGGUUGUUACUUGUCCUUUCAGCUUUGAAGAGGAUUGAUGACAUCAUAAUGUUGGGGUAAAAUAGUGGGUGGUGGGUGAUGUUUUGGCCUGACUGUGAAUUUGAUUUAAGUGAAGCAGAGUUGCACAAAGUCGUCAGCUUCAUUUCCUCUUCCAGAAUCAUCCAAGCCCAUUGCAGGAAAAAGUUAGGCUGACUAGUGAUAGCCUGGGAUGUAGUGGAUAACCUUGGCAGCUCCAAUGUUUGAGCAAGUUUUAAGGACUCCAUAGAGUCUGCUUCAGCUGCCUUUGUGGCCAUUGGAGCAAAUUGUUCUCAUCCACCCAUUCCAAGGGAGAAGUCUUCACAUGCUUGGGGUGGGCCCCCCUCCUCCACUACCACCAACAGGUUUGAGGCCUGUUGGUUACCCUCCACCUGGUUUAGCCUGUCCGCUUAGAUGGUUUAUUAGGGUGUGGAUACUGGCUAUAUUACCGCUUCUUCGAGUCUCGGGUGAGAGUUGGGUGAAAGGUGGAUACCAAAGAUAGAUGAGCAACCCUGAGAAGGGCUUGGCAAGCCUUCACACUUUUGGCACUAGUCCUCCUUGAACACUCCACAGACCCUUAUCAUGCAGGAGGGUAUGGUAAAAAGAAGGCUGGACUUCUUUAGGGGAAACCUGGUUGUGUUGAUCUCCAUCUCUAACUUGUGCUACUUGUGGGACUCUGGAGUGACCCGAGGUCCUGUGAGAGUACACCGAGGUUUCCUGCGUACAUACUUCUUGGAUGAAGCCUUUCUGGGACAGAUUUUCCCGUUCAACGUUGUAAAAGCCGCCACUUGCCUAGUCUCUCAACCGCGUUAUUUAAACAUCGGGGUGUGAUUUCAGAGGCUUGAAGCUUGUUUCCCUCUUUCAUCAGAGUGGGACCGGCAGGCCACGUACACUCAGGGCCAGAACUAGGGUGAGGUGACUGAGACUUUGCUCCAAGGCAUCGAAAUUGAGAAAGCGUUCCUGCUCCUUUCUUGAUACAGAAGCAAUUGAGCUUCGUACAAAGCU
rnacentral:lncRNA from 1 species